AGUAAAAGUCGUAACAAGGUCUCCGUUGGUGAACCAGCGGAGGGAUCAUUACAGAGUUUAUAACUCCCAAACCCAUGUGAACUUACCUUUUGUUGCCUCGGCGGGGCCGCCCCCCUCUCACAAGGAGACGCGGGCCUGCCGGCGGACUACCAAAAAACUCUUGUUAUCUUUAUGUGUCUCUCUCUGAGUUAUACAAACUUAAUAAGUUAAAACUUUCAACAACGGAUCUCUUGGUUCUGGCAUCGAUGAAGAACGCAGCGAAAUGCGAUAAGUAAUGUGAAUUGCAGAAUUCAGUGAAUCAUCGAAUCUUUGAACGCACAUUGCGCCCAUUAGUAUUCUAGUGGGCAUGCCUGUUCGAGCGUCAUUUCAACCCUCAAGCCCUAGUCGCUUGGUGUUGGGAGCCUGCCGUGAAACGCAGCUCCUCAAAGCUAGCUGGCAGAGUUAGGAUCUAACUGUGAGCGUAGUAAUUCUUUACAUCUCGUUCUUCGGUGGUCCUGGCCUUCUCGCCACUAAACCCCCCAAAUUUUUUCUAUGGUUGACCUCGGAUCAGGUAGGAAUACCCGCUGAACUUAAGCAUAUCAAUAAGCGGAGGAAAAGAAACCAACAGGGAUUGCCCCAGUAACG
rnacentral:rRNA from 1 species